CAGUUGCAAUGUUCUUGCAAGUUCAAAGAUCCUUUCGAUUUCACUCUGAACUUCCGCUGUAAAAGGGUGCUGUUAUGGAACUUACAUUCUUACAGAAGAGGGAGAGAAGCAAAUAGAUAUCUGAUGUCGGGUCAUGAUAAGUGCUGCUGGAAAUGCAGAAGAGUGAGGAUGAAUAUGCUGUGAAAGGUUUAAUUAAAUGUUCAGAGAUGAUCUUUCAGAAAAUCUUUUGCUUCAAACGAAAUGGCCAUGCCUGGCACUGGAACAUCAUCUUCAUGGGCUGCACUAUAGCU